UUCCCAGAUGCAACGCUGGGUUUACCAGGUGGGACAGUUUAACUGGAAUUUCAGUUCACCGCCAAAAUGUUGUAUCCUGGUGCUGAAAGGGGACAUGAGGAAACUUUUUUGGAGUGGUGGCAAUAUUGAAUAUUUCCAUAUCUGAUACCUUGAUUCUGGUGACACCUAUAUGACUAUUUGUCAAAAUUCACGGAGCUGUACACAUUAAAAAGUGAAGUUUAUUAAAUAUGUUAUUGAAUGUAAAUGUUAAACCUGAUUUAAAAUAAAAUAAAAUUUUAUUAAAAUGAAAAAGAAGAUACCAUAUUAGUAAUUUCACAGGUCAAAUGCAGCCAAUUUGAGUAAAAUCAUUUUGCUCUCUUUUGAAAGGGCAUUGAGGUUUUUGUUUGUUUGUUUGUUUUAAUACUUUACCUCUAUUCUAUUUUGUUAUCAAGUCUCUUCCAGGGAAUAUCAUUUCAGAGGCUGCAAACUUGAGUUUACUAUAGAAUCCUUGUGAAAUGAUCUCAUUCUUUAUUUUAAAAAAUUGUAUCUUAGGUCCAAAACCAGAGGUAAGAGGGAUCUUGAAAAUAACCCACAGUUAUACAGAAAACCGUCUGAAAACAUAGCCUUAUCCUAGACUAUUUUAUCUAGUUCACCUCUUAACACAUUCCUUAGAGCGGUAAUCACUUAUGUUUUUGCUUUCAAUUUCUUGAGCUGUAAAAUGUAGGGUGGAUUGGAUUAGCCUUAUUUAUGCCACUCAGAUUGCUAGUAGUAGCUGCUUGGAAGUACCAUGCAGAGAGAUGCACAGUGAUCUGCCUUCCAUGGGCACGGGCUUCAGGGAGCAGAAUGCGGGGAAGGGGUGACACCUGACACCUAUUUGCUAUCUCCACUCUCCUCAAGGCCGUCAGCUCCACAGGGAUUGGGUCCUGUUAGUUUUAUUUCCUUCUGUAUCCUCAGUUCUUAGCACAAGGGAAUUCCAAGGGUGUUCAGUAACUCAUGUUACAAAUGAAUGAUGAUUUGUAAGGUGCUUUUUGGCUCCAAAGAUCUGAAGGUUGAAACUGUGACAGGCAGUGGGCCUCAAGUCAGGGCACAGCUUGUCCCUAAAUAGUGAGUUAUUUUUGAAGCGUCCCUAGAGAUCUCUGACACACAGACCCUUCUCACUACCUCUUUAGGUUCUUUUUCACUAGCUGCAGAUUUAGAUUGUAAAUAAAAUACAGCUGGGGGCCGGACAUGGUGGCUCACGCCUGUAAUCCCAGCACUCUAGGACGCCGAGGCGGGCGGAUCACUAGAGGUCAGGAGUUCGAGACCAGCCUGGCCAACACGUCGCUACUAAAAAUACAAAAAUUAGCCGGUCGUGGUGGCAUGCAUCUGUAAUCCCAGCUAGUUAGGAGGCUGAGGCAGGAGAAUUGCUUGGACCCGGGAGGUAGAGCUUGCAGUGAGCCGAAAUUGUGCCACUACACUCCAGCCCAGGCAACAGAGCAAGAUUCCCUUAUUUGAAUUGGUGCUAAACUGGGGAGAGGAGAAUGCGAGUGGGAACUUGCUCCACAUGCAGUGAUGAAGCCUGUUCUAUGCACCAGCCACAGGUUCUAGGGCUUCACUCUGCUCCACGUGCUUUCUGGGAAACCAUAAAACUGUUGGGCUAAAGAGACUCCAAUUUAGUACUCAGGGAGGCGGAAUUUCCCUUUGCUAUCUCACCUGAUGAACUCUGACGUCAUAGGAUACUGGUUGGCUAACUGGUCUUUCCUCUGUGCAAGCCUCAU
rnacentral:lncRNA from 10 species